CUUCAUAGAAGUGAAAUUCGGCGGAGAGAAGAGAAGAGCCCUCCUAGUAAAUCAGCGGAAGAUCUAUUAUAGUGAAAUCAAAACCAUGGAUGAAUUAUGAACACCAUCGAUCAGCAUCAUUAAAACUUACAUCUUUAUCUGAGCAUAAUGAUAUCUCCUCUCAUUAUUUUCAUUUCAAUAGGAACUCUACACACGGGGUCUUGCUCUAUCCUCUAGUGUUGUCGAUACUUCAGCCUAUGGUGCUGGCUGGUAAUCUAAUUUUUGGGACUCUUCAAAAUUUUCAGCCCCCCGAUCCUCUUGCUUUUACUGAUGUAGUCACUUGAAAGCAUCAAAUUUACACGUUCAUUUUUGAUAAUAUGUUAUUUCGGUGUCAAGAAUCAAUCUUUGUAUUCAAUAACUUACAGAAAACAUAUCAAGAUUAUAUAUCUUCACCAUAAGGGGAUUCCAACGAUGGUGGAAGAAGAAUCCUAACAAGAUAUCCAAUGGAAUCGAAUUAUUUACCAGUAGAACAUGCCAAGAUUGACGCUAUCAAGUGUAACAUUGAUACUAAUUUUCAAAAGUAAUGAAUUGUAUAAGUUAUUACUGUAGUAUAGCUGUAAUUCUUAAUAUCAUUAGUAUGAAU